CGCUGGCGGCAUGCCUUACACAUGCAAGUCGAACGGCAGCGCGGGGCAACCUGGCGGCGAGUGGCGAACGGGUGAGUAAUAUAUCGGAACGUACCCUGGAGUGGGGGAUAACGUAGCGAAAGUUACGCUAAUACCGCAUACGAUCUAAGGAUGAAAGUGGGGGAUUCGCAAGGACCUCAUGCUCCUGGAGCGGCCGAUAUCUGAUUAGCUAGUUGGUAGGGUAAAAGCCUACCAAGGCAUCGAUCAGUAGCUGGUCUGAGAGGACGACCAGCCACACUGGAACUGAGACACGGUCCAGACUCCUACGGGAGGCAGCAGUGGGGAAUUUUGGACAAUGGGCGCAAGCCUGAUCCAGCAAUGCCGCGUGAGUGAAGAAGGCCUUCGGGUUGUAAAGCUCUUUUGUCAGGGAAGAAACGGGUUUUUCUAAUACAGAGAUCUAAUGACGGUACCUGAAGAAUAAGCACCGGCU
rnacentral:rRNA from 1 species